rnacentral:rRNA from 1 species
CACGUAGGGGACGAGCGUUGUCCGGAAUUAUUGGGCGUAAAGAGCUCGUAGGCGGUCUGUCGCGUCGGCCGUGAAAACCUGCAGCUUAACUGUGGGCUUGCGGUCGAUACGGGCAUCACUGGAGUUCGGCAGGGGAGACUGGAAUUCCUGGUGUAGCGGUGAAAUGCGCAGAUAUCAGGAGGAACAUCAGUGGCGAAAGCGGGCUUCCUGGUCCAGCACCGACGUUCAGGCACGAAAGCGAUGGG